rnacentral:tRNA from 2 species
AUUUAAGUAGUUUAUUUAAAAAUAUUGAUUUGUGGAAUCAAAGAAAUUAUUUUAAUCUUAAAUA